GACGAACGCUGGCGGCGUGCUUAACACAUGCAAGUCGAACGGUAAGGCCCUUCGGGGUACACGAGUGGCGAACGGGUGAGUAACACGUGGGUGAUCUGCCCUGCACUCCGGGAUAAGCCUGGGAAACUGGGUCUAAUACCGGAAAAGACCACUGCAUGCCUGGGCGGUGGUGGAAAGCUUUUGCGGUGUGGGAUGGGCCGGCGGCCUAUCAGCUUGUUGGUGGGGUGAUGGCCUACCAAGGCGACGACGGGUAGCCGGCCUGAGAGGGUGACCGGCCACACUGGGACUGAGAUACGGCCCAGACUCCUACGGGAGGCAGCAGUGGGGAAUAUUGCACAAUGGGCGCAAGCCUGAUGCAGCGACGCCGCGUGAGGGAUGACGGCCUUCGGGUUGUAAACCUCUUUCAGCACCGACGAAGCGCAAGUGACGGUAGGUGCAGAAGAAGGACCGGCCAACUACGUGCCAGCAGCCGCAGUAAAAC
rnacentral:rRNA from 1 species